rnacentral:misc_RNA from 1 species
CACCACUCGAGUCUGACUCGGUAUUGGGCGCCGCGCACCGCCGCGCGCCUCAAAGUCUCCGGCUGGGUGGGCCCGUCCCCGAGCGUUGUGGUUUCACAGUCUCGCUAGGGAGUCGCGUCCGCCGCAUCGGCCGUUAAACACCCCCAUCAAA